GAGGAGCAGGCGGGGAGCCCGCAGUUCCGAGGAGGGGGACGGAGGGAGGACGGCGAACGCAGGCGCCGCUGCCAGUGCUCUUCCCACCCGGCAUGGCUCCUGCCCUCAAAAACAGCCCUCAAGUCCCGGAAGGUUCCCGCUAGUGCAGAAAGUUGUCACAGGCCACAGAGAACUUACCCCGGAAGUUCCCGAAGCCCCUUCCCCAAGAGAGCCCUGAGCCUCAGCCCUGACCGUACCCUUCCGACCUUUGACCCUUGCCUGCCCUGCCCUUUGACCUCCUUGGGGCAAAGCCGCUGGGGGACUAAGCCAUUGCGAGAAGACAGGACUAGGCAUGGUCCCGAGUAGCUGCUCCUGGCCUGGCUCUCUUGAGGACAGGGCGAGGGGGGGCCUGGUCCUCAAACUUCCUUUGAGGCUAGGGGAGCCGCCGGCUUUGGAGGCAAGCUAUGGGACAGGGAGACUUUGGAGUUCUUAAUGGUGUCUCCGGUGCCUUUCACACUUUCACACGGAAGGCUGUGGCCCCAGCUGUGCCACCUCCACCACCUCAUGCAGUUACUGAACGGGGAAAUGGAACAGGACCCUUGGAUCAUCUGCAUGGCUUUAACCGUGCCCUCAGAGCGAUGCGGGUGGAGGGCAGGGGCCCAGAGCUCACAAGCCUGCUUCUGCCAGAGCUGAUCUUUGCCUCUUGGACGGAAGAGUUCAAAGACGCAUUUGGAGACAGGGCUCUGCUGACAAACCAGUGGCGCACUGAGCCCCCGCCUGUGUGUGUGGCUGAGCAAACAGGUAGGGUGGGCUUCACGAGUGUGCGGCCACACUUGGUUUCAUGUCCUACCUUCAAAUUCUUAAUGACUGUCUCAAAAGGGACUCGCACACCCCCAUGUCCAUUGUACACCGAGCCCCACAAAUUGCGAGGGUGUCCUGUGUACAGGGGGAGCGACUUGCUGCAGAUGUGCAGCCAGUCAGGGGACUCGAGUCCCAGGCUCCUGGCUCCCCGUCCAGGAAACACCCUGCCUCUCCACUGCAUCCUUCCCUCUGGCCUCUGCGCCUUUGGCCUGAGCCUCCUGAUGGCCUGACCAUGUCUUGAACUGCUUGGGGAUGAGCCAGGCAAGUUAUGAUCAACCCCAGUGAGUUCCCUUGGCAGGCAGAGAGGGGCCUCGCCCACUGAGCACUGUCUUCCAGCUGCCACAUCUAUGGGGCUCUGCCCUCCCUGGUCAGAGAGGGCUGGGGCACGCAUUCCAAGGAGCCUCCAGAAAGCAUUCAGCCCACGUCUUACCCCGGGCUUCAGCCCACACUGCCCCUGUGCCUGAUGAUGAGGGUAUGAUGCGGCACAUUCUCACAGCGGUUUGGUUCCACCAACAUUCCAGACCAACAGUGCAAGAGAAAGGCAGGCGGGACCGAAAUCCUGCGAAAUGGAGGAGUGAAGAGCGGGCAUGCAUGAAUAUUUGGGAGGUGGGCCUGCCGACACAUGCCGCUGGGUUCCAGGGGCCUUGUGGGCUGCUGGAGUGGGGCCUGGGGGCUCCCAGAAAGAAGCCCCAGCCCUGCCUCUCCCCCGCUUCCCCUGCUCUGAACAGCACCCUUGCCAUGAGCAGGGCAGAAUUCCUGCUACCUCUAUGGCAGCGCCCACGAACUUGUCCCUCAGUGUCCAGAAACCCUCAGGUAUCUCUCGGAACAACGCAGGGAGCCACGGGCGCAGGCCAGGACUGGUUCUCAGCCCACCUCCCUCCCCGGCCACCACCUCCACCUAGGAAGGGAACAGCAAGGCAGACAGCAAAUAUUUGGCCUUUGGGAUCUGUGGAGUGUGAAGAACCAGGCAUUUUCUCACCCGAGUGGAAAAAGUCAAGAGCCCCGCAGAGCAGGGCGGCUGCCGCUUCCAGAGGGGGGGAAGCUGGCCUCUGUGCUCCUCUGGAGAGCCCCCACCCUGAUCUUCAGAUUACACCCCCUGGCACGGGAUCCUCAGCCUCUGCUCAAAGCAAACACGGUGAUGUGAUGUUUGCUCCGGGAGAAACGUUGGUGGCGAUGGCACUUAAACAUGCUUGCUGAGCGGCUCAGCUUCCCCCCACCCCCGCCAUGGCCAGGCGCCAGAGCCCACUCUGCCAGCUGAGCUGUUUCUACCCCGAGGCCUCUCCAGCCCAAGCCGCAUCCAGCUGGGCCUCCCAGGCAGCUGUGUCCUUUGAUGCAAGCUGACACCUGGCUCGUCUCACCUGUGAUCCUAAGGGGCCCGCAGCUGCCACCAGGGCAUUGCAUUGCUGAUGGGCCCUCCUCAGAGCUCCCCACUGGCUUGUUGGAGUGAGCCACAAACACCUGUGUCACUGUUGCCACCCCCCCCCCACCCCCAGUGGGAGGAGCUCUCGCAGAUGCUCGGGAAGCAGCCUGGUGCCUGUGAUGAUGACUGCCUGAAGACGCACAGACGCGGGCUCUCCUCUGCCCCUGGGGAGGAUGUACCCCUCCUGUACCACCUGGGCAAAGUGUGGGCAGGGAGAGGAGGGGGUUGGGAAGAUUCAGCCAUGUGAUGCCGGGAGACGUCCACCUCACAGCGUGGCUGGUUCUGUCCAUGCAUGAGAGGGCAGGCAAGGUCCCCCAGACCUUGGGGCACAGGAGGGAGCCUGGGCUAGAAGAAAAGGAACUGAUGUGGCAAAGGUAAAUAGAGUCACCAAUCAGCCAGUCCCGGGGCACCAGGGGCUUAGAUGUUGGAGGUUGGCUCCAUGCCCUCAGGCACACACAUCCCCAUAAAACAGUCACCUGGCAGUCUCCAUGGAGGACAGGCAGCUGUUCUGGGUGUUAGAAUUGGCAGGCAGGACAGCACCACUCAUCUGUACACCACUCAUGUCUGGUCAUGUUGCAGUUAGUGUGUUUGUUGGAGCACAAGAGGCCCAAGGACAGGCCCAGCCCUGUCACAGAGCAGCUUUAUCAUGCUGUCCUUUCUCUCAGGGGCUUACCCCUUUCUAAAACACUUAAAAUUCAUGCCCAAAUCAUUUAGACGAAACUAAAAGUCGUCAAGUGUCAUGGAAGAGGCCCCCAGGGAGUCGCCAUGGUGGCACAGCGGGUUAAGCUGUGGCGCCUGCGACGCCAGCAUACCAUAUGAGCAGCAGUUCAGUUCUGGCUGCUCCCUUUCCAGUCCAGCUUCCUACUAAUGCACCUGGGAAACCAAUGGAAAACAGCCCAAAUGUUUGGGCCCCUGGCCACCCACGUGGGAGACCUGGAUGGAGUUCCUGGUUUCCACCUGGCCCAGUCCCAGCCGUUGCAGUCAAUUGGAGAGUGAAUCAGUCUCUCUCUCUCUCUCUAACUGUGCCUUUCAAAUAAAUAAAAUAAACCUUUGAAAGAAGGAAGGAAGAAAGGGAGGGAAAGAGGAAGGAGGGAAGGAGAAAGAGAGAGAGAGAAAGUCCCCAGGAGGGAGUUCAGGGGUUGCUUGGUUUUGUUCCUGGCACUCUUUCUUUGCUGCUCCUCUUAAUGAAUCUUUCAGCUGUUGGGUCCUGGGUUCUUUCUGGGCACCCGUCUCAAAGACUGGACACAUGGGAAGAGUCGGAUGGUGCCAGGUUUAUUUCUCUAAGCUCCCAACACAAACUUCCGCAAGUGUCUUCAGCAUCUCUAGAUGGAGACAGGCAGACAUCUGCUUCCUGGUUCAGAUGAGAUAGCUGUACCUCCACUUGGAUCUAAGUGAACAACUGGUUAUUCUGGGAUAUUGUGCCACAGUGUGCUGUCAGCUAUUAUGUGUGGAGCACCUGCUUUUGAGCAGGAAUCAUCUAGCUGAAAGGGAAGCAAAGAUGCUUCCUGCCCUAACGGCAGAGACAAGACAUGCAGACCUAAGAAGCAAACUGAAUCGUCAGGGUAGAUGAUGCAAAAGCACAAAUGAAUGGCAGGUGCACUGGAGUCCCCAGGGAGAAAUAGAGCAGCUCAGAAAGGCUUCAGGGAAGAAUUGAUCAUGUCAAGGCAGGCCGGAAGAGGUGAUGGCAAAAGCUGGACAUUAGGUCCUCGGGAUGCUGUGUUUAGUGGUGGUGGAUGGAGAGAUUUGCUGAGAUCCACCAGGAAGCAGGGGCCAGCCCAGCCGUGAGUGCCAAGUUAAGGACUUCCGAUUGUGCUUGUUGACACUAAAGAGCCAAUAGACAGCGUUUUCCAGAAGGGUGUGCCGGGAGAAGGCCUGUUUGCCACUUCUCCCUUGAGGCAUUCUCUUGUGGCUUCAGCCCACAUUGGGAAAUCUCUAGUUUUAGAGUGGCAGGAAGAAAAUGAGCUUGUGAAGGAGCCAAGAGAAGUGAGCAGGGACACAGGCAGAAAACCAGGACAGCCGUGUCACGGAAAUUGAGAGGAGCGAGUUCCGAGUUCCGAGUUCUGAGCCGGAGGAAGCCAUGCGCAGUGUUGUUGAUCACCAGAGGUAGCAGAGGUAGCUGAUGAGGCGGCCGGGCUACACCCGGCAAGGGGCAGGUGUAAAUGCCAAGGAGCAGGAGGCCUGGGGCAGAGGAGUUUCAGAAAACAAGGAUUAGGUAGAGUGAGAAACUGGUGGGGCAGGAAGGGGUUUUCAAGGCGGGUGUGGCCUGGGAGAGGGACAGAGGAGAGGUGGUAGGAGUGUGGGGAUGGAGGUGAUGGCAGUGGGAGACUUGCAUUGGCAAGAAAGAAGGUUCUCUGUUGGGACCUGAAGGGAGGGAGAAAUAAUGGAUAUAGACGUAGACUUGCAUUGCAUCCUGUAUUUGAUUUUUUAAAGUAGUCAAGCUAUUUAGUUAGUUAGUUAGUUUGAAAGGUAGAGAGAUAGAGACGGAGAGAGGCAGAUCUUCUAUCCACUGGUUCACUCCCCAACUGCCUGCAAUUGCCAGAGCUGGACCAAGCUGAAACCAGGAGCCCAAUCCGAGUUUCUUGUGUGGGCGCCAAGGACCCAAGUACUUGAGCCAUCACCCACUGCCUCCCAGGAUGCACCUUAGGAGGAAGCUGGAAAUGAGAGCAGAGUCAGGACUUGGACUCAGUACUCUGAUGUGGAACACCGCCGUCCCAACUUAUAGCUUAACAGCUGCACCAAAUGCCCACCUACGUUUGACUUUUGUAUGACACAAACUCAUUAUUUUAUUGCUAUUUUUUAAAGAUUUAUUUACUUAUUUGAAAGGCAGAGUUAGAGAGACGCAGAGGCAGAGAGAGAGAGGUCUUCCAUGUACUGGUUCACUCCCCAAAUGGCCACAAUGGCCAGAGCUGGGCAGAUCUGAAGCCAGGAGCCUGGGGCUUCUUCCAGGUCUCCCACAUGGGUGCAGGGUACCAAGGACUUGGGCCAUCUUCCUCUGCUUUCCCAGGCCAUAGCAGAGAGCUGGAAGUAGAGCAGCCAGGGCUCGAACCGGCACCCAUAUUGAAUGCCAGCACUGCAGGCAGAGGCUUUACCCACUAUGCCAUGGUGCCAGCUCUGUCAUAGGUAUUUUUAAAACUCAGUAAUAGGACAUAGAUAUCCUUCCCCCAGGCAAUUAAUGUAGAUCUACAUUAUUUUUUAAAUGGUCGCAAAACUUCCUUUAGUAUGAUUCUAUUAUUUAUUUGACCAAUCCCUUGUUGAUGGGCCUGUAGGCUCUUUUUCCUCCAGUUUAUCAUAACAUGAAGUGAUCUUUACAUGCACAUCUUUGCUUGGUUGUAUAAUUGUCCCCUUUCAGAAGGUCCUAGCAAGGGGAUUGCUGAGUCAAAGAGCGCAUUCAUUCGAAGCAUUGAUACAGAGCAUCAAGCUGCGGCAAAUGCAUGAGAGCGCCUCACCACCCGCUCCCCUACACACACCUACAGUGGGUGUGCAGUGUAGGCAUCUUGAGGGAGCUAGCAGAGGAUCUGUAACUGGAGCUAAUAGUUUUUAUCUUGUCAGAAAAGAAAGGGGAGAGGUGAACUCAUCUUUGGAGGAUGGGGUGGGUUGGAAGGAGGAGGAACACGAGGACCUGGAUGGCUGGACUUUGUUGGAGCCAAAUCCACACCAUACCCUGAUGUGCUCUCGUUGUGCCGGGUUUGCCUGGCCCAGUGCUUCGCAAGCACAAUGAGGACUGAAUGAGGUGCCCUGGCUGGGAGACAGUUCCAGGCUCCAGGGGCUGAAACUGACCCUAAGGGCAAGGCUGGUCUCGAAGGUCAGGGCGUGCGUGAUGAGCCUCGUGAUGGAGAACAUGUAGAGGUUUACUGCAGUGGGAGUAGGAAGAGCAGUGAGAGGGGAUGCAAAGAAAGGAGCUUGAGAUCGCGCAGACAGAACAUUCAUGAGCUUUAACCUCUGAAGGGUGGGCAGCCUGAGCUGUGGUCAACAUGGAAAUGAGAGCUGUAGAUUCCAGGGAACCCCAAGUUGCAGCAUAAAUGUUGGCUCCAUUCAAGUUGAUGGCAGGAAGCAGACUGAAGAAAUAAUCCAAAGCAGGUGAUGUUUCCAGAGCAGUGUUCCCCAAAGCAAGGAUAUUCUGAAUACCAAUUCCAUGGUGGGGGGAGUAUUAUGGGGGCAGGAAGUUUUGUGGUCAAAUUUGAGAAAUGCAGAAUUAAACACAGAUUUAAAUGAGAAUUUUUUUGCAAGACUUUUCUAAAUGUUCACUCUGCUAAUCAUUUUCCCAGCUUCCUUGACCAAAGAAUCUUUUCCCACAAAAAAUACUUUGGAACUAGUGUCCUGUAGGACAAGACAUAUUUUGAAAAAAUGGAUUUCUUGAAAGUUGGAAAUGGAUCCUUAGAGUGACAGGCAUAGGGAUUUGGCCACACAGGACAGCAAUAAUUGAGGUAGGAUAGAAAAAUACUCCCAAUGACAUAAUUCUUACUACCAUAGAUCAAGCCUGUACUACCAUCAUGUGCCUGUACUUUUUUUUUUAAGAUUUAUUUUAUUUUAUUUAUUUAUUUUUUAUUAUUUGACAGAUAGAGUUAGAAAGUGAGAGAGACAGAGAUAAAGAUCUUCCUUCUGUUGGUUAAAGAUUUAUUUUAUUUAUCUGAAAGAGUUAGAGAGGUAGAGCCAGAGAGAGAGUGAGGUCUUUCUUUCCACUGGUUCAUUCCACAAAUGACUGCAACAGCCAGAGCUAAGCUGAUCUGAAGCCAGGAGCCAGGAGCUUCUUCCGGUUCUCCCAUGUGGGUGCAGGGGCCCAAGGACUUGGGCCAUCUUCUACUGCUUUCCCAGACCAUAGCAGAGAGCUGGAUUGGAAGAGGAGCAGCCGGGUCUCGAACCAGCGCCCAUAUGGGAUGCCAGCACUGCAGGCUGGGGCUUUAACCCGCUGUGCCACAGUGCCAGUCCUGUGCCUGUACUUUUCAUACAUCAUCUCUGCAUUGUCACAGCAGCUCUGUGGAGUGGGUCCAUCCCCCUAUUUAAUACGUAAGGAGAAGCAGCUCAGAGACAGGAAGGGAAGCACCCAUGCGAUGCAAAUGAUGAAAAGCAGAGAAUGUGGGGUUCGAAGGACCAGAGGUGACAACAGGGAUAGACAAAACUGGUGACCCGCAUGUCUCCCACUGCACUGGAUUUGUUGGGGUCCCAAGGAGUGGCGAAGGUGCUGCAUAGAGUGGGAAACCAGUGGGUAUGUGAUGGGGGCAAUCUGCUGUAUUAAGUGAACAGCCCGGGAGCUGCUCUCAUCUAGACAUCACCGUCCUUUAAAGGGGAUAUUUAGAAAUGAGAUGGGCGUCUGGGGUUGUCACCAUGACUGCCAAUUGCUCUUGGCAGUCGUGGGCAAGGCCAGAACCCUAAAUGUCUGCACAGAGUGGGUAAAUCCCAUCUCGGGAAGAAUUGUGCCCCUCCAAAAUGCCAACAGGGAAGAUCUGAGAGCCAGAAAAGAAGGGAAGCCAUUUAGGAGAAGUUUAGGAUGAAGGGGAGAUUUACCCACAACUUCUGUAGUGACCAAGAAGGCAACAGAAUGUAGCAGAGGGCGAAUUCAGAUGCAGGCAGCAGGAUAGGGGGAGAGAAAGCACCUGUCCCAGGGUAGCAGAUGUGGAUUUCAGGGAUGAAGGAGCUUAAGGAUGGGGACCGGAAGCAGGGCAAGUGCUGGGGGGGCCAAGGAGACAGAUAAUGAGAACUUGGGGAGCAGGACAAUCGGAGCAGAAAGGACCAGAUUCUUUGGAGCUGAGCGGGGGCCCCGGAGACGAACAGUUUCCCACCAAAUCCGAACAAACCCACAGAGGAAGGCUGUGGAGAGGGGGCAGCGGCAGGAGGGUUCUAAUGAAAACAGCUUUUGCAACUUUAAUUACAGCAUUCUCCUACCUUCAACUAUAGCUGUUCUGCGACUUUAAAUAUAGCAUUGGCUUCUGUGAAAACUCUGAAAUCACUCUUUUUCCUGACCCAAUUGGCUGUUUUGAAAACCCACUCUGUGAACUCCACCAAAGAUAAAUCAUCAAAAUAUGUUCCUUGAAGUGCCCAAAGAAAGACCUUUUAUUCAGUUCCUCGAAUCUCUCCCCCUUGCUGACUCGCGUGGAAGAAUGCAGUCCCAGGAAGGCAAAAGAGUGAAUCAGUUUCACAUGUUUGGUCAACCAAAAGAAAGCCAGCAUGGGUGACCACAGUCGAGUUAGCGAUUGGUUGACAGGUCUCGGCUGUUUUCCACCCCCAGGGGGAGAAAUGAACUGAGCUCAACCCCAGUGGAGUCAGCAACCACACACAGCCAUGUGCCAAGACAUGCACCUUCAAUCAAACUUCUCCGUGCCCAUGCGGGAGCAGGGGGUUAGGAAAAGAGGGGGGUUUUCCUGCUCUCGUGGCCGUCCUUGUGAUGUUUGAGUUGGAUAUUAGGACCUGGGGUGACAGCAACACAGCCCCUUUCAGCUCUCCAGUGGCUGCCACUGUUUUAUGGGUCUGGGCUCGCAGCGCUGGCCUUCAAAGGCUGUUUGGUUUUUCUUGUUCUAAGCACACCGCCCGUGAUUGGGUAGUGAGCACUGGAGCCUGGCUGUGCCUUCAUUAUGUAAUCCAAGGGCAGGGACCAGGAUGUUCCCUGGUGACAACGUUGGUGCCUCGGGAACAGGGGAGGCAGCAGCUGGCUCGCAGAGCCUUAGAUGCUGGCCCUUCCCAUGGUUCCCAGAGCAGCUUUGCUGUCCCAAAUGUGCUCCCAGGAAGGCUUUCCUGAAGCGUCUUUGGUGCAGGCAUUGAUUUACCAUCUCCAGUGUCCUUUCUCAAGCCUGCGCCAUCCUGUGCUGUCUCCUGGAAUCAGCAAAAUGAAAAAGGAAGGAGAAGAGGAGGAGGAAGAAGAGAGAAAUAGGUUGUCUUCUAUUUUCUUACAAAACAGCCUCUCUUCCCAUACGCAUGGCCUAUGGUGACACGGCAAUUUCUCCAGACUCCCAGCACCUCAGCAUGUCACACUCAGGGCCUCCUCGAUUUUCAGCAUGUCAAAAUCCUGAAUUUCAUGGAUUUUUAUGCAUGACACACCCAAGAACCAUAGCCUUAUCUUAGAGGGCCAGAGAAAACAAAUGGGAUCCUAAGGCAAUCAACAGGACACCAAUGGGAAAAAGUAAAAAUUCCCCCUACCCCACACCCAAACAAGAGCCCUUUUAGUUUAGGAGAGGAAUAACAUUCCCUCCCACCACCUUUUUUAAGAUUUAUUUUAUUUAUUUGAAAUAAAAUAGAGUUACAGAGAGAGAGCUGGUUCACUCCCCAAAUGGUCACAAUUGCCAGGCUUGGAUCAGGCCAAGAGCCUGGGUCUCCCACAUGGAUGGCAGGGGCACAAAGACCUAGGCCAUCCUCCUCUGCUUUCCCAGGCUCAUUAGCAGGAAGCGGGAUUGGAAAUGGCACAGCUGGGACUCCAACGCUGAUAUGGGAUGCAGGCAUUGCAGGCAACAGCUUAACCAUCUAUAGUACCAUGAUGCCAACCCUACCCCUUGUUCUAGUGCUGAGAAGGGGAGGGGAAGUAGAGCCUUAAUCUUCCUUCCUCCCCUCCCCUCGCUACACGCACACACUCCCUGUCUCCCUCCAGUUCAUUCCUUUGCAGUUCAAACCUCAGGGCUCUGUAUGUUACCAUGGUCUCUGCUUUUUCAAGCGUUUGCAACCUCCAUGCUUCAGUACCCCCAACACUCCCUCACCAUGGAGUACUCUAAGAAUAAACUAAACUUAAACCAUAUAUUAGUCAUUCAUCUUCACUUUUUUAAUAAAAGCAAGCUCAUGAUUAGAACAGCAGAGGGUAACAGUUAACUGAACACACAGGCCUUCUCAGGGGCCAGUAUGCUGUCUCAUGCGGGAGGGAGGCUGCAGGUUUCCCAAGCUGUAAACAGACGGCAUUCUGGGUGGUAAGAUGGCCCCAGCUCAGUGGCCUUUCAGAACUGAGCAUGUGCCACUGCGCAGACCUUGUGUGCAUAUUUGGGACUGGCUUCGGAUUCCUGGACAUUUAGGAGCUGCUAAGCAGCUGGUUGGUCACUUAUUGUCUCCCAGCCUCUAACGUGACCGAGGUGGACUCCGACUUAGACAUUCCCAUCCCACGCUGUCAGUCUGUGGUUUCCUGUCUCUGAACAUACUUCUGAAAGCCGGUGCACCCAACACUGAGUAAGAUGGCUCCAGAAGCCCGGGGAGAUGGGAAGAGGAAGACGAUUCUCUUAUCUCUGCUGACCGGCUCGGCCCAGUACAAAGGGAGGAGCAGAGAUUCCUGUCUGAUCAAGCAUCCUACAGUCAAUGAGUGCUCAGCCAAGCCUUUCUCAUUCUUGUGUCUGCUUCUGCUCUCACCGGAACUAUCCACUGUAAUGCAAUUAUAAUGAGCCCGUGCUUGCAAAGGAUUUGGCUUAAAGAGCCUCGGAAGUGAUUUACGUCCGGUAAAGUCAACGAGGCUGCAGCGGUGAGUGGCUGCAGCGUUCCGGACAUAGGUAAAUCAGGGGCCCCCAUGGCUGGGCGCCCCUCCAGAAAGCAGGAAAGCCAAGGGAUUAGGCCGAGAAGCCCUCUUUGGGGUUCGUGGAGAGCUCGGAGUUAUGGAGCUGAGAUGUCAGUGAAGGGAAAGUGGCCAAAUGCUCGUGAUUUGCGUGAACUCCGAAUCUGGAGAGCUGAGAUCUGCUCUGGCAGCUGUCAUGUCCCUCCCCACGGGGCCACCCCGAGCAGUACCGGAAAACGCCAUGAUUAAUUCCCACUUGCUAAGGAUUGCCAGGUGAGGGGGCUCCCGAGGCGAGCAAGGUUAUGAUAAAGCUGACAGGGUGUUUGCUGAAGGCCGGUGUCAGCCUUGCUUGAUUUAAGUCAUCCCGAGUGCCUGCGAAGGCUAUAAACAGGGAAGUGAUGAAAUUGGCUCUGGAGCCAGAACAGGGAGGAGGCCGGUCAUGAGGGAGGGCAGAGGAGCACCGUGCAGAGGUGGGAAGGAAGACGGAACGGGGCCAGGGAGGCGGCCGCUGCGCGGAGUGGAAGGAAUACCUCCCCGAGGGGCUCCGAGGCCGCAGUGCGGCGGCAUCCGCGGCCAACCGCUUGCAGAGCGCUUCUGGCCGUGCUCACUGGGGGGGCGAGAGGCUGUGGUUGGUUGGAUGAGGUUUUGGUCGGAGGAGCUCAGAAAGCAGGAAGGAAUUCUGGUCUGCUUUGCCUGAGGCAUUUACUUAUGGGAAAGAGAUCGUAAUCCUGGCGACUGCCAGGCAAAGCCAUCCUUGUAAACUGUUGGCAGAUGGAUGGUGCAGAGCAGCUGAGUGGCAAAACAGAGCUGAAAGGCUGAUUUCUUAGGACACAGUUAGAGAUCAGCAGUGCCCUCCUCAUCGUACUUCGUGUCCUUCCAUCCUUCCUUCUUCCACUUCCCCCAGCCCCCUCCAAAGCACUUGACCAAACAUGUGCACACACACACACACACACACAUACAGGCACCAUCAGAAAGAGGCUACCUGAAUCUGCUACAGUGGAACGAAAACUAAUUUAGGAAGCUUUGCCUCUAGCUGGCCCUUUGACUUUAGCCAGGCUGUAAACCUCAGCACACACACGUACACACAACCACAUGCACACACAGCUUGGUUUCCUCACCUGUCACUCAUCUCUCUGCUGGGCUAGUUGUAGGAAUCCCACGGAAAAAUAGGUGUCGAGUGCUUUCAAAGUGCUAAAGCCCAGCUCGCCACCUCCCCACCAAGUAACUCCAAAUCUCUGGCAGUAGGGCACUGAUCCUGUUCUCUUGAAAAAUCCCUACAUGACUCCAGGCCUAGAACCACCACCAGAAAGCAGAAUACAAAGCCAUUCAUAGAUGCAUUAGAAAUUGCAUUUGUUGGGCCCUUCUGUGUGCUUGGGGCUUUGGAGAAAGCAAACAACAAGACAAGUACAGUCCCUGCCGGCAGAACUUAAACACCAGGGGAGAGAGCUGUUGCACUGCCUCCUACAAAGGGAGACCACAGAGCAGGUGGAAGUACACAUGACAGGGAACCCACUCGAGGCUGGAGCUCCAGGUAGACUCAGCUGAGGAAGUGACGUUGAAGCCCUGUAGGCUGAGCAGAGGGCAGCGAUGGCGGCAUCUAUAGUUUGAGGUCACUGGUGCUUCUCUGCUGAGUGCGUUCAAGGCGGCCUGGGCUUUCCAGGUGCUCCUUGCUGACUCUGCAUCCUGGCUGUCAGGUUGAUCCCAGUGGCCAUGGCCCGAGCGUUUGGGAAAUGAGGUCUCAGCGAUAACAGGCCUAGGAUGCUCCUCAGGCUCCUUCUCAGUGCUGUUCGACUCUGUUUCUACCAUGACCUUGUAGCUGCAGGGGCAGGAUUUCUCAGCACUUUGUAGAACCUUUGCUUCUUACUUUGAAGUGGUCAUAGGUAUGGUAGAAAAGAUUUCCGGGGACUGGCACUGUGGUGUAGUGGGUAAAGCCAUCACCUGCAGUGCUGGCACCCCAUAUGGGUGCCUGUUCAAGUCCCAGCUGCUCCAUUUCCCAUCCAGCUCUCUGCUAUGGCCUGGGAAAGCAACAGAAGAUGGCCCAAGUCCUUGGGCCCCUGCACCUGUGUGGGAGACCUGGAAGAAGCUCCUGGCUCCUGGCUCCUGGCUCCUGGCCCAGAUCAGCCCAGCUCCAGCCGUUGCAACCAUUUGGGGAGUGAACCAGCAGAUAGAAGACUUUCUCCCUCUCUCUCCCUCUCUCUGCCUCUGUGUAACUCUGUCUUUCAAACAAAUAAAUAAAUCUUUAAAAAAAAAAAAAAAGAAAAGAGUUCCAAGUUUAGAUCUUGACUUCACCACUUACAUUUUCUGUGCUGGUAAGCAAUGUUCUUAACUUCUCUGAACCUUGGUCUUUUUGUCCAUGAAAGUGAUGCUUUCGCCUGUAAGGUCUACACGGUUGUCAUGAAGACUGUCUUGAGGCAAGACCCAGGACUUCAUCUCAUUAAGACAAAAUGGAGAAAAGCAAAACUUGGAACUUCUACUUCUGGCAUUAUGGACUUAAAACUUUCUCCAGCUUAAAAAAAUUCAUGGGGCAGGGAUGGUGGCACAGCUGGUUAAGUUGAUGCUUGCAACUCCAGGCUAGUUCCAGUUCCAGUUCUGGCUACUCCACUUCCCAAUCCAGCCCCCUUCUAAUGCACCUUGGAAAUCAGCGGUCAAUGGUCCAAGUGCUUUCAUUUUGCCGCCUACAUGGGAGAUCCCAAUGGAGUUCUGGGCUUCUGGAUUCAUUCUGGCCUAGACCCAGCCAUUGUAGCCAUUUGGGGAAUAUACCAACGAAAGGAAGAUUCUCUCUCUGUCUCUCUCUCUCUCUUUCUCUCUCUCAUUCUCACUCAUGCCCCCCCCCCCCAUCACUCCACCUUUAAAAUAAAUAAAUAAAUAAAUAUUGUAGAAAUAUUCUGGGGGUGAUAAAACUUAGGUAGUAGAUGAACUGCAAACUUAGUGCUAAAAGCCUAGCUAAAUUUGAAAGCAGACAGGGGCAAUCCUCAAAUGAUACAAGCAAAACAAAUUCAAGUUAGAUGUUGAAACAAAACAGGUUAACAAGUACAGAAGCUGGGAAUCAGGAGCGGAGGGUCAUGGGUACACGAGGACAUGGGCAGGAGACACAGCCAUGCGUGGCAGGAGAGAAGGGGGAAAGCUGGACCAAAGACCUGUAGCGAAAAGCCCAGACCCAAGAAGAGACCUCUCCCAGCUGCUGUUACACGGCACACCUCUGGAAGGUCCCAGUCCUUUCAGGUUGGCCAGGGUCGUGCCAUGUGUGUCAAUAAAGCUUUUACCUCUCACCUGAGUGAGUCUGCUCUUUGAAAAAAAGGAGAUGAAGGGGUCACAGUAGAUUAAGGGGGAAAAAAUCUACCUGCCAGAAAGCUGACAAGGAAAUCUGCUAUGUCCAGAGACACCAGGCCAGAGAAAAGGCUGUGCUGGGUGAGGACAGGCCGGCCCCACAUGGUCCGCAGUCCUGGCGUCCAGUUUGUAUACUACGUGCACAUGUGGGCAGUCCAUCUAAGAAACCAAGCUGCAGCUCUGGAUUGGUAACUCCUGUAGCAAUGGCAGAAGUCAAGGAAAGAGCCUCUGGUAGAAAUCUGGAGCACAGAUGCCCUCAGGAUUCGUCUGCAAGACAUGUGAAGAAAGGUUAUGUUCUUAGAAAAAACUCUUGCGGAAAAAGAAAAAUCAACAGCUCAACUGAAAAAUGGGCAAAGGCUACAGAGAUGAUUCAUGGAAAGGCAGGGCUUGCAGGCCCCUGAAAUGCUCAGUCUUACUAAUAAUUUUUAAAUGUGCAAAAAAAAAAAAAAAAAAGGCAGUCUGUUGACUUAAAGUCCAAAACUUCUGUUUUUAAGACAAGAAUCAUUGAUAAAUCAGUGUAUAUGUUUUGUGGGUACAAGUGUCAUUUGUAUAUCCUCUCUAAAUGGUAACUUACUUGUUAAAUCAUUAAAGUGUUCUUAUAAUCUAAUCCAGUAAAUGCACUGUUGGGAAAUUGCCUUGAGCAAAUCUUGGGUGCGUAGCAUUGUAUAUAAACAGAUUUUCACGCAGUACUGUACACACACGCAUACACAUGCGUAUGCACAUACAUACACAUUCAGAA